GACGAACGCUGGCGGCGUGCCUAAUACAUGCAAGUAGAACGCUGAAGAGAGGAGCUUCCUCUUCUUGGAUGAGUUGCGAACGGGUGAGUAACGCGUAGGUAACCUGCCUUGUAGCGGGGGAUAACUAUUUGAAACGAUAGCUAAUACCGCAUAACAAUGGAUGACACAUGUCAUUUAUUUGAAAGGGGCAAUUGCUCCACUACAAGAUGGACCUGCGUUGUAUUAGCUAGUAGGUGAGGUAAUGGCUCACCUAGGCGACGAUACAUAGCCGACCUGAGAGGGUGAUCGGCCACACUGGGACUGAGACGCGGCCCAGACUCCUACGGGAGGCAGCAGUAGGGAAUCUUCGGCAAUGGGGGCAACCCUGACCGAGCAACGCCGCGUGAGUGAAGAAGGUUUUCGGAUCGUAAAGCUCUGUUGUAAGUCAAGAACGGGUGUGAGAGUGGAAAGUUCACACUGUGACGGUAGCUUACCAGAAAGGGACGGCUAACUACGUG
rnacentral:rRNA from 1 species